CCUGCAAUUAGCAACACACCAUGAAUUCCCGACAAUGAUAAGCCCAUAGACCACCGCAGCCAUCAGAAAAAUCAGUAACAACAACCAUAUUAAUUUCAACUCCUAAAUUACAACACUUACAUUAUAAUAGAAAUAAUAAACAUUUACAUGCUCGUCUGCACCCAAAAUUUGUCCCGGCCACCAUGACCCAUUCCACUUGUCAACCCUAACCAACCCACCCAUCGACUCAUUAAUGCCCAUUGUUUUUGCCUCACCAGAAAUCCCCAUCUCUUCACCAGAACCUAUUAAAACAAUCUCCAGAUAUAAUCUCAACUAAGAAAAGCCCCAAUUUCAAAAAACUCAGAAAAACUCCAAUUUUAUCUCUGACAAAUGAAAAAGAUAAAAACUCAGAAAAGCCUCAAUUUCAUCUUUGACAAAUGGAAAAAAUAAAAACUCAGAAAAGUCAUGAAGCCAAAAACUAGAAAAAUUGAAGAUGAAGAACAGAAGAUGUCAUGAGUCACAGAGUUUCUUCAAGGGAAGGCUGCCUUGGCGCGGAGCAUCUCGAAUGGGUUCCCAAUCGAGGGAGGAAUCGAGGCGGCGGGGGAGAGUUUGGAGGACUUUUCGUCCGAUCAUGCCGAGGAGAAAUGGCUGGUUGGAGGCGAUGAGGUACUUGUUCGUAGCAACUCUUGAAGCGGAAGAAGAGAAGAUGGAGAAAAAAUGAGAAGAAAGAGAGAGAAAGAGAGCACAUCAUGUUUCUGGUAUUCUUUUCAAAAAAUUAAAUCAAUU
rnacentral:lncRNA from 1 species